rnacentral:rRNA from 1 species
GACGAACGCUGGCGGCGUGCUUAACACAUGCCAGUCGAACGGAAAGGCCUGCUUUCCCUUGUGGAUUGCGGGUACUCGAGUGGCGAACGGGUGAGUAACACGUGAGUGAUCUGCCCCCAACUUGGGUAUAAGCCUGGGAAACUGGGUCUAAUUCCCGAUAGGACUGCAGGGUGGUGCCGGUGGUGGAAAACGAUUUUCUAGUGGUUGGGGAUGAGCUCGCGGCCUAUCAGCUUGUUGGUGGGGUAAUGGCCUACCAAGGCGGCGACGGGUAGCCGGCCUGAGAGGGUGGACGGCCACAUUGGGACUGAGAUACGGCCCAGACUCCUACGGGAGGCAGCAGUGGGGAAUAUUGCACAAUGGGCGGAAGCCUGAUGCAGCGACGCCGCGUGGGGGAUGACGGCCUUCGGGUUGUAAACUCCUUUCGACCGCGAGGAAGCCACCUGGUUGGAAGGGUGGUGACGGUAGUGGUAGAAGAAGCACCGGCUAACUACGUG